UCCAAGAAUUGAAUUUUUCUCUUUUAUUUUUAUCCAUCUCAUAUUUUUAUUUCGGAGGUCCUGGAAAUUUUAUAUAAUAAAAAAAAAAUAAAGAAUUACUCAUUUAAAUGUAGGACAAACUUUAAAUAUCACCCCUAUAGUUUCGAACUUUCUCAUUUUAGUAUUCUGUAAUUUAAAGUGUAUCAAUUUAGUAUCCUGUGGUUUUAUUUUUAUCUUUUUAGUAUCGAUCUCAUUAAAUUAUUUUUAUUAAAUCAGUAACAAAGUUAAAACUAAAGGGCAUUAAAGUAAAUAUUUGAUAAACCUAAACCUAUGUAGAAUAUCUGAAAUUUUUUAUAUAUAAUUUAACGAAAUAUUAAUGAAAAAGCUGACGAAAAGAUAAAAAUGAAACCAUCCUGAUACACUUUAAACCAUAGGAUACUAAAGUGAGAAAGUGUGAAACCACAGGGGUGGUAUU
rnacentral:lncRNA from 1 species